AGUACUCGACAGUUUUAAAUAACCGCUAAGCGAAGCUCUGCUCUCUCUCUAUUUCUAUGUCAAAACUAGGCGAAGUAUUUACGAAAACCGAGACACAUCAGCGAGACGUUCCGUCGGCAGAAAAAGAUGACCUCAUCGGCGUGAUACAGUGCUUCUCUUUUCCUUUUCUGCUCUCUUUCUCUUUCUCUCGUGAUAAUGCCUGCGACAAUAAUCGCCCUGGCAGUGUCUACGCUGUACAUCGUGUUCACGGUAUGGCUAGCGCACUGGCUGAGGCUGUACGCGACAUACUUCAUUGAACAGCCCCUCGUGAAAUCCUUGUUCUUAGAGGCGAUCGCUACGGCGGAACUCUGCGGAGCAUGCUUCGAACUCAUUAUAAUUGCGGACAAUUGGGGAGUAUCAAUGUAUGCGAUUUAUCUGUUUGUGCUGACGGUUUACUGGUCGAUGACCUGGGGCGACGCGUCGGCGUGUCCCUACACUCACCUGGAGGACAUGGUCCUAGGCAACAAGUCUGUGCGCAUCGCCUUCCUUUUGAUAUGGGCCGAAUUUCUCGGCGGUAUCGCCGUGUUUAAGUACAUUCAAGUGCUCUGGGCGCUCGAGAUCGUCUCCACGCACAAAAACCGGGCGUUCGGAGACUGUACUACAGAUUUGCAGGUACCUGUUCUAAUUGGAGCGCUCAUAGAGUGCGUCGCUACGUGCAUAUGUAGGGUGGUGUCACGCGUCUUGGGUGACCUAAAUCCAAGAUUCAGCACGGUCAUCGACUCUUUCGUGGGGACGUCUCUGGUUGUUGCAGCCUUCAAUUAUUCCGGCGGUUACUUCAAUCCCGCACUGGCGACUUCGUUGAAAUGCGGUUGCUUGGGCACCACAUUCAUCGAGCACGUGACAGUAUAUUGGAUCGGGGCGUGUGUUGGAUCUAUCGCCUCCUUACGCGUGUACAAGAUGCCGUUCGUGCAAAAUUUCGUUGAGCAGCGCAAAGAGAAGAUCGCCUAAGAUGACACAAUGACGGAAAGGCAUUGGGUGUUUACGCACAAUCUUGUUGAACGAUUUUAUUCUUCAAUUACUUGGAUAUUUAUAUAUCAUUGUUUAUAUAUUUUUCAAUCUUAUGUCGUUUCAAUUUUAUUUAUUUUAUUUUAUUAUGUCAUUCCGGCUCGAGGAAUGUAUUAUCGUAAUGUACUAAUCUUUUUAUUUUUUUUUCUUUUCUAAGAAACAGUUACACGAUAACGCAAUUGUAUUUUAGCGAAACAUUAUGAUACAAGCGUUAUUCUAUAGAUGUAGAAGAUAUUUCUUGUCGCCGUGCAUUUUGAUGCAUGUGAGCGAGUGGUCCUCGAAAAUUGGUCAGAGGGUAACGAAAACUGUAUGACGACUUAUCACUGGAAUAACGGAGAAUAACGGUGACACUUUGAUCGACAAUCAAUUAGAAGAUUGUUUCUUAAAUAUGCCCGAAGAUUGGAGGUUGGAUUGAGCCGCA
rnacentral:misc_RNA from 1 species